ensembl:lncRNA
CAACAUCUGUUUUUCGUGAAUAAGCAACCAGGUUUGGGGCUGAAAUAUCCUGGUGUACAUAUACAGUAUCUCACAACAUGUAUAGGACUCUAUGUUACCUUUCCUACACAAUCAUGGGAGCGGACAUAAAACUGUCCUCCUUGGAUAAGGUUGAGGGGUUUGGCGGCUGUUCGUCAUCACCGAUCUCUGUAUCCAUCUCUACGUGUUCGUAAUACGGCGGGGGGAUCUCGCUGUCCUCCAAGCCAGAGGUGGUGUUGUGGUAAGUCAGCUUCGGCUGAUCGUCCUCAUCGUCGCCGUGGUACGAGUCCAAAUCCUGUGAGAGACGAAAACAAUGAUGAUGUCGUUUAGUUAUACUCGUAACAUAAACACAAGAGCAGCUCAUAACCAGAGGUUCAGGUGGGGGAGGAUGAUGUUAAUAAUGACAUAGCCUUAAA